UCAGUUUUUCCGGCGACUUUUCCGGCAGCUACAGAGACUUUCCGGCCAGAAUUUCAAAAAGUUUCUUCAGGACAGUAUCAUCGCCCUCAAAUACCGAGCCUACUCAUGUUUUUACUUUUCAAUUCCGACAACUUUGAAGUUUUUCCGGUAUCUACAGUGAUUUUCUGGCAAAAAAAAACAGUUUUCCUUCAUCUGUUUCAGUAAAUUUUCAACGAUGUCUUUGGGAAUCGAUGCUUUCGGGUCUAGAAACCUGGGUUCGAUGUUANNN
rnacentral:lncRNA from 1 species